rnacentral:rRNA from 1 species
AGAUUGAACGCUGGCGGCAUGCCUUACACAUGCAAGUCGAACGGCAGCACGGGAGCAAUCCUGGUGGCGAGUGGCGAACGGGUGAGUAAUAUAUCGGAACGUGCCCAGUCGUGGGGGAUAACGCAGCGAAAGCUGUGCUAAUACCGCAUACGAUCUCUGGAUGAAAGCGGGGGACUCGCAAGGGCCUCGCGCGAUUGGAGCGGCCGAUAUCAGAUUAGCUAGUUGGUGGGUAAAGGCCCACCAAGGCGACGAUCUGUAGCUGGUCUGAGAGGACGACCAGCCACACUGGAACUGAGACACGGUCCAGACUCCGUACGGGAGCAGCAGGUGGGAAUUUGGACAAGUGGGCGCGAAGCCUGAUCCAGCAAUGCCGCGUGCAGGAUGAAGCCGUUGGUAGUAACGUGUCGUUUAGUACGGUAACGUAACGUUCCUUUACUAACUACG